rnacentral:rRNA from 1 species
AACGAACGCUGGCGGCACGCCUAACACAUGCAAGUCGAACGAGAUCUUCGGGUCUAGUGGCGCACGGGUGCGUAACGCGUGGGAAUCUGCCCUUUGGUUCGGAAUAACAGUUGGAAACGACUGCUAAUACCGGAUGAUGACGAAAGUCCAAAGAUUUAUCGCCAGAGGAUGAGCCCGCGUAGGAUUAGCUAGUUGGUGUGGUAAAGGCGCACCAAGGCGACGAUCCUUAGCUGGUCUGAGAGGAUGAUCAGCCACACUGGGACUGAGACACGGCCCAGACUCCUACGGGAGGCAGCAGUGGGGAAUAUUGGACAAUGGGCGAAAGCCUGAUCCAGCAAUGCCGCGUGAGUGAUGAUGGCCUUAGGGUUGUAAAGCUCUUUUACCCGGGAUGAUAAUGACAGUACCGGGAGAAUAAGCUCCGGCUAACUCCGUGCCAGCAGCCGCCGUAA